rnacentral:lncRNA from 1 species
CUUUUUAACACUGGAAUUUUUUUUCUCUCUCUCUCUAGAAUUCCCCCAGGACAGUACACAUCUUCAAUUUUAAAAUGUUUUCUCGAAACCUUAAGGAUACAAAGUGAUAGCCCCCCCACCUCGUUCUAGUGGAGGUUGUUUCUUUUUGCAGAUGGUUGUCACUGCUGCCUCAGUCUGAACAUACAGUGAUGUCCCCGACCAUCUCAGCCUGCCCACACUUGCUGAUCCCUCGUUCCCGUUACCGUCUGCUUCGGCCGGGGCAGCAGCGUUAUCUCUUCUCAUUCAAAAUAUUUCUGUCCAGUGUUUGUGGAGAAGCUGUAUAUGUACAUCAGGAAAGUUUCAUUGCUAUUGGUUGUAAAAACAUGAAUUAAAAUCUGGAGCUGGAGAGAGGGCUCAACAGUAAAGAGUACUUGAUACUCUUGUAGAGGACUCCAGUUUGGUUCUCAGCACUCGCAUGAUGCUUUACAACCAUCCAUAACUCCAGUCCUGGGCCUCUGGCACACUCUUCUGACCUCCACAGGCACACAUGUGGUGCACAGACACACAUAUGCAUAAGAUAAAAAUUUUGAAUUAAAACCU